UAUCUCCUUGAUCAAUCGACAAUUUGUU
rnacentral:sRNA from 1 species